AUUGAACGCUGGCGGCAUGCCUUACACAUGCAAGUCGAACGGCAGCGGGGGAGAAGCUUGCUUUUCCUGCCGGCGAGUGGCGAACGGGUGAGUAAUACAUCGGAACGUGCCCUGUAGUGGGGGAUAACUAGUCGAAAGAUUAGCUAAUACCGCAUACGACCUGAGGGUGAAAGUGGGGGACCGCAAGGCCUCAUGCUAUAGGAGCGGCCGAUGUCUGAUUAGCUAGUUGGUGGGGUAAAGGCCUACCAAGGCGACGAUCAGUAGCUGGUCUGAGAGGACGAUCAGCCAACCUGGGACUGAGACACGGCCCAGACUCCGACGGGAGGCAGCAGUGGGGAAUUUUGGACAAUGGGCGAAGUCCUGAUCCAGCAAUGCCGCGUGUGUGAAGAAGGCCUUCGGGUUGUAAAGCACUUUUGUCCGGAAAGAAAUGGCUCUGGUUAAUACCUGGGGUCGAUGACGGUACCGGAAGAAUAAGGACCGGCUAACUACGUGCCAGCCGCCGCAGUAA
rnacentral:rRNA from 1 species